GUCCCAAAAUUCUUGUCUUAGAUUUUUCUAGAUACAGAUGUAUCAAGUCACAUUUUAGUAUUAGAUACAUCCGUAUCUAGACAAAUCUAAGACAAGAAAUUUGGGAC
rnacentral:pre_miRNA from 1 species